rnacentral:lncRNA from 1 species
UGAUACUCAUGGCCUGCUUUAGGUAGACCUCCAACGGAUGAUUCCUAAGAUACUUGUUUCCAAAACCUCUGACAGCUAAAUAGAAAAUACUCAAGUUGUGUGUAAUUUCAUGUUUCUUUAAAAGCAAGACUACUAUGUCAGUACUAGAUUACUCUGUGACUUUAUAAGUAAAUAUCUCUUUUGUGGACUUUUAAAAACCUGUAAGAAGAAAGUUUCAGCUACUAAACACCCCACUAAAUUAACACUAGAAACACUAGAAAUGCAGGGAUAAACACGGGACAGUCAUUUCCUUCAGAGGAGGAGCCUGCCUUCAUCCUUCAGGUGGACUGGCGCAAAUGCAAGAUCUGCCCCCGCCCACCCACCCCCAUCCCGGCCACAGGGGACGAUGGUGCAAUUGGAAACUCUUCCCAGAGUCUGGCCACAGGUGGACUCAGCACCAAAUCACAGGGCACAGGAGAGGGGUCGCCAGGAAACGUCUGCACCUACUAUGCUGGAGCACACGAGAUGCUCCAGGGAUCCUUUGCGGAAGGCUGUGGGAGGGUGAGGUCACUUCAAUGACACAAGCUACUCUAGCAAUAGAUUUUCCCCAACUCCUGGGAAAUAUGCCUGCUGACUCCUUUGAGGCAUGCAAAAUUCCUCCUUCCAGCUCUGAUUCAUUCCCUGUGUGAGUGUGUAACUACAGCUCAUUCCCAUCCCUCUUUAAUUCUAUUCUUUAAACAGCUUCUGCCUCUCCCUUUAAAACCAGCUUAAACCAGCAAACUACAGCUGUAUGACUCAUGGAGAAAACAGCAGAUAAGCAGCAGUUACCUGGACUUUAAAAACUGGUCACAGGCAUCCUUUUAUCCUUGUGGAAGUAUUUAAUCUUAGGGAAAAACAUUUUCCUUCACUGUCCACACACCUUGAGGGGAGAGUGGGGGAGGGUGGGCAGAUGGAGACAGGGUAACAAAGGCAAGAAGUGCCACCAAGACUUCGCUAAUAGCUUAAGAAAUCAGCUCUUUUCUAGCAAAAUGUACAUCUUGCUCUGGCAUUGUAGAAGAAGAGUCUAUAAUUUCAUAAAUUUAAUGAUUUAGGCAAGCGUUUGUUUUCCUUUACUUGCUGAACAAGGUCAUUUAUAAGUUACCAAACUCAUUCCUGCUUGGUAAAAUAAGACAGUGAACACAGAAUCUAAACCCAGACUUAAGAGGAAAACAAAGAGGAUUUCUAUUGUAUUUCCAUCAUAAAUCAAAUUAGCUGCUUGAGACAGAGUCUUUCAGGUAUCCACAUCAAAUAUCUCUUAUUAAUGUUCUCCAAAUAAAAGUUUCAGGGUUCUGAAAGCUGCUAAUAGGAAUUUAAAGGCUUUGACUGUGUGGAUCACAACAAACUGUGGGAAAUUCUUAAGAGACUGGAAUACCAGACCACCUUACCUGUCUCUUGAGAAACCUGUAUGCAGGUCA